AACCAUAGAAACCUGCGGAGUACCUGCGGAAGGAUCAUUACCGAGUCACGUGCUCAAAUAACCCUUCUGUGGACCUGAAAUAAAACCGUUGCCUCGGCGGGCGGUCCCCCCAACCAAACCCCACGUGGUGGGUUAGGGGACCAGACAGUCCGGCACGCUUAAGGCGUCCGGCGCCAGCCGCUGGCCCCAAACAAUUAAACCCCUAGUAACCUUUACCUUCUGAGUUUCAAUAUUUUAAAA
rnacentral:misc_RNA from 1 species